rnacentral:rRNA from 1 species
UACGUAGGGGGCAAGCGUUGUCCGGAUUCAUUGGGCGUAAAGAGCGUGUAGGCGGCCAGGUAGGUCGGUUGUGAAAACUGGAGGCUCAACCUUCAGAGGUCGACCGAAACCAUCUGGCUAGAGUCCGGGAGAGGAGAGCGGAAUUCCGCGUGUAGCAGUGAAAUGCGUAGAGAUGCGGAGGAACACCGAUGGCGAAGGCAGCCCCCUGGGCUGACACUGACGCUCAGGCACGAAAGCGUGGGGAGCAAACAGG